GCGCCCUUAGCCCAACUGGUGAGGAGGCACAACACUCAAAAUGUUGACAGUGUCAGUUCGAAUCUGACAGGGCGUACCA
rnacentral:tRNA from 1 species